rnacentral:rRNA from 1 species
UACGUAGGGCGCAAGCGUUGUCCGGAAUUAUUGGGCGUAAAGAGCUCGUAGGCGGCUUGUCACGUCGGGUGUGAAAGCCCGGGGCUUAACCCCGGGUCUGCAUUCGAUACGGGCUAGCUAGAGUGUGGUAGGGGAGAUCGGAAUUCCUGGUGUAGCGGUGAAAUGCGCAGAUAUCAGGAGGAACACCGGUGGCGAAGGCGGAUCUCUGGGCCAUUACUGACGCUGAGGCGCGAAAGCAUGGGGAGCGAACAGG